GCUUCUCCUUUGUGGCCGCGUGGAUUGUUUGGCGUGGCAGCUCGCCCAUCACACUCUCUACCAGACAGCUGACACCCGGUGCGUUUGAGGAGGAUUGGCUCCUCCGGAGGUUCCCGGUCUUGCAGUGUUGCAACUAUUGUGGGAUUUGGCCGUGGGAUUGUUGGGUCUCUCUCUCCCUUCCCUGUGGGCUCUGUGGCUGCAACUGGCCGCACAGGCUGGUAUGUAUGAAUUUCCCCAUAGAUAACUUUUAAUUCAAUAAACUUAAGUAUUCACCAGUCAUUUUAAACUUCUUUCCAGGAGUGCCAUAAACAUUCUCCCUUC